rnacentral:tmRNA from 1 species
CGCGAGGCGCGCGUCGCCUCGCCUCCUCGCGCGGCGAAUCGUCGAGAGGCGACUAAGCAUGUAGAGCCUCGCGCCGGAAGGCCCUCGGACAGCGGUUCGAUUCCGCUCACCUCCACCA